GUGGGGAAUCUUGCGCAAUGGGCGAAAGCCUGACGCAGCCAUGCCGCGUGAAUGAUGAAGGUCUUAGGAUUGUAAAAUUCUUUCACCGGGGACGAUAAUGACGGUACCCGGAGAAGAAGCCCCGGCUAACUUCGUGCCAGCAGCCGCGGUAAUACGAAGGGGGCUAGCGUUGCUCGGAAUUACUGGGCGUAAAGGGCGCGUAGGCGGACAGUUUAGUCAGAGGUGAAAGCCCAGGGCUCAACCUUGGAAUUGCCUUUGAUACUGGCUGUCUUGAGUACGGGAGAGGUGAGGGGAACUCCGAGUGUAGAGGUGAAAUUCGUAGAUAUUCGGAAGAACACCAGUGGCGAAGGCGACUCACUGGCCCGUUACUGACGCUGAGGCGCGAAAGCGUGGGGAGCAAACAGGAUUAGAAACCCUGGUAGUCC
rnacentral:rRNA from 1 species